rnacentral:rRNA from 1 species
UACGGAGGGUGCAAGCGUUAUCCGGAUUUACUGGGUUUAAAGGGUGCGUAGGUGGGCAGGUAAGUCAGUGGUGAAAUCUCCGAGCUUAACUUGGAAACUGCCGUUGAUACUAUCUGUCUUGAAUAUUGUGGAGGUGAGCGGAAUAUGUCAUGUAGCGGUGAAAUGCUUAGAUAUGACAUAGAACACCAAUUGCGAAGGCAGCUCGCUACACAUAUAUUGACUCUGAGGCACGAAAGCGUGGGGAUCAAACAGG